rnacentral:rRNA from 1 species
ACAUAACGACUCUCGGCAACGGAUAUCUCGGCUCUCGCAUCGAUGAAGAACGUAGCGAAAUGCGAUACUUGGUGUGAAUUGCAGAAUCCCGCGAACCAUCGAGUCUUUGAACGCAAGUUGCGCCCAAAGCCAGUAGGCCGAGGGCACGUCUGCCUGGGCGUCUC